rnacentral:rRNA from 1 species
GAUGAACGCUGGCGGCGUGCCUAAUACAUGCAAGUCGAGCGAACAGAUGAGAAGCUUGCUUCUCUGAUGUUAGCGGCGGACGGGUGAGUAACACGUGAGUAACCUACCUAGAAGACUGGGAUAACUCCGGGAAACCGGGGCUAAUACCGGAUAAUAUUUUGAACCGCAUGGUUCAAUAGUGAAAGACGGUUUCGGCUGUCACUUAUAGAUGGACCCGCGCCGUAUUAGCUAGUUGGUAAGGUAACGGCUUACCAAGGCGACGAUACGUAGCCGACCUGAGAGGGUGAUCGGCCACACUGGAACUGAGACACGGUCCAGACUCCUACGGGAGGCAGCAGUAGGGAAUCUUCCGCAAUGGGCGAAAGCCUGACGGAGCAACGCCGCGUGAGUGAUGAAGGUCUUCGGAUCGUAAAACUCUGUUGUUAGGGAAGAACAAAUUUGUUAGUAACUGAACAAGUCUUGACGGUACCUAACCAGAAAGCCACGGCUAACUACGUGCCAGCAGCCGCAGUAA